rnacentral:rRNA from 1 species
GACGAACGCUGGCGGCGUGCUUAACACAUGCAAGUCGAACGGUGAAGCGCCUUCCUUUUUGGGGGGUGUGGAUGCGUGGCGAACGGUUGAGUAACACUUAAGUAACCUGCCCCCUUCUUCUGGUUAACCGCAUUAAGGUUUAUCCAAGACGGGAGAUUCUGGUUCUUUCGCGGGGUUGGUCUGUGUAAGAGAUUGUGUCGGGGGGGGAGGGUCUCGCGGCGUAUCAGCGUGUUGGUGGGGUGGUGGCCUACAAAGGCGGGGACGGGUAGCCGGCCUGAGAGGGGGACGGGCCACAUGGGGACGGAGAUGCGGCCCAGACUCCUACGGGGGGCAGCAGUGGGGAAUAUUGCACAAUGGGCGGAAGCCUGAUGCAGCAACGCCGCGUGCGUGAUGACGGCCUUCGGGUUGUAAACCGAUGUCGCCUGUGACGAAGCGGGAGUGACGGUAAUGGGUAAAGAAGCACCGGCUAACUACGUG